rnacentral:rRNA from 1 species
UACAGAGGGUGCGAGCGUUAAUCGGAAUUACUGGGCGUAAAGCGUGCGUAGACGGCUAUCUAAGUCGGGUGUGAAAGCCCCGGGCUCAACCUGGGAAUUGCAUUCGAGACUGAAUAGCUAGGGUGCGGUAGAGGGAAGCGGAAUUUCCGGUGUAGCGGUGAAAUGCGCAGAUAUCAGGAGGAACACCGGUGGCGAAGGCGGAUCUCUGGGCCGAUACUGACGCUGAGGAGCGAAAGCGUGGGAGC